rnacentral:tRNA from 1 species
GCAUCUAAGUAUAAGGUAUAUCCUCGGCCUUCCAAGCCGCAGUGUGUAGGGUUCGAUUCCCUCUAGAUGCUCCA